GGCAGGAGACCUGGCCAGCAGCGGCCGGAGCCUCAUGUAACGCUGCCUGUGGCACCAACGCUGUGGGCACGGGGCAAACGGGUGGAGUUUGAGCCCUUGGCACCAAACAGGCACAAAUAGCAGCUGCAGCAGCAUGUACAUUCACGGAGUACAGUGCAGAGGUUUCUGAUGAGUCAAAUGGAAAGUGGAUUUUGUCUUGAUGUAACUCAGAAAGCAGAUGCAAGAAUGAUACUGACUUGGUAGAAUGAGAAGAUGAGAUUCAAGCUCCUGCCAGUUAUCUCUGCUCAACCCUCAGACAGCCCCAGGGAGUGGAAGCACCAGACGGCACUGAGGAUGGACCUACAGGUGGGGCUAAAACAGGAAGAUGGGACUCCUAGAUCCCUCUUCUAUCCUAUGCGCACUUUCCUGAAAAAUGAAAUUCAGUGAAGGCUUAAAUGUAGAAUGGAGAGAUGGCUAGUAUCCUUGUCCCUCUUGGAUCCCAGAAUGCUAGCAGCCACAUAUAAACAUGUUAGGGAGAUUUUAGAAUCAUUCAUGGGAGAAACCAAAAGAUGUACAGAUACUCAAAUACUGACACUUAGAGAUCCCUCUCUGCUCCCAAAACCUCCAGUGUCCUGCCAGAUCACUUCACAGUGAGAACUUUAAGUCAACAAGUUCCUUCCUUUACACAGAAUAUUGAGUCAGCCUUUGUGCCUCAGUCAUAAAUGUGAAUAUUCAGCUAUAGAUUACCAGACUUUUCAGAAAAACCUCUCUAACAGAGACCAAAAUAAAUAAACAGAAAAAGGACCAGGAACUCAGAGGAAACAAAAUGCAAGCAGGACAAUAAAACAUCAGUAACACUAUAAAAUCCUCAGAAAGAUAAGAGAGGAUAUUGUAUCCAUGAAAAAAGAACAAGCUGUUACAUAAAGGGAAAAAGUUGUAGAGUGAGAAAGAGCUCUCAGAAGUUAAAAAUGUUAUGGCUGAAAUGAGACAUUUCAUAGAUGAGUUGCAAGAUAAUGUCAAGGAAAUUUUCCAGAAAAUGGAACAACAACCCUGAAAAAGGAGAAUGUAAUCUGAGGGCCUUUUGGUCAAGUUGUGCUGCUGGCUUCCUUUGAGCAUGUAGCCUACUAAAAACCCCAACUUAAUUCACAGGGGCUUCUCAAACCUCCA
rnacentral:lncRNA from 1 species